AACUGAAGAGUUUGAUCAUGGCUCAGAUUGAACGCUGGCGGCAGGCCUAACACAUGCAAGUCGAGCGGUAACAGAUCUAGCUUGCUAGAUGCUGACGAGCGGCGGACGGGUGAGUAAUGCAUAGGAAUCUGCCCGAUAGUGGGGGAUAACCUGGGGAAACCCAGGCUAAUACCGCAUACGUCCUACGGGAGAAAGGGGGCUUCGGCUCCCGCUAUUGGAUGAGCCUAUGUCGGAUUAGCUAGUUGGUAAGGUAAUGGCUU
rnacentral:rRNA from 1 species